GUCCCCGUGCAGACGUCCUCCAGGAACGGAAUUGGAAAUUGUUUAUUUAUUGGCCUGGCCGGCGUCGUUACGCGAAGGAAGAAGAUGACGCGGAACGGCAGGCCAGGCGCGGGCGGCGUUGGCUUCGGCCUCCGCCUCCGCCUCCACCUCACGGCAGGCCAGGCGCAGGCGGCGUUGGCCUCGGCCUCGGCCUCCACCUGCACCCGCAGCCAAAUUAGACGGAAGGGAACAAACAAGGAGAAGAGCGGCAGGCAGGAAGUUGAAGACGCGGGUGGGGUGGGGGCCCGCGGGACAGAGGAACACGGCGGCGGUGGCCUCUGUGAGCUGAGCC
rnacentral:misc_RNA from 1 species